UAAGGGUUCCUCCGGCAGGUUCGUCCGCGGAGGGUUAGUCAGGACCUAAGGCGAGGCCAAACGGCGUAGUCGAUGGACAACGGGUAAUUAAUCCCGUACUGAUGUAGAUUUGUGCAGAGGGACGGAGAAGGCAUGAGCCAGCCGGAUGUUGGUUACCGGUGCAAGCGUUCGAGGCGUUGAGGAGUGGAGAAAACAUUCCGAGCUAAGGCGUGAGUCCGAGCGUCUACGGACGCGAAGUGGUAGCAGUCAAGCUUCCAAGAAAAGCUCCAAGCAC
rnacentral:rRNA from 14 species